GAGUUUGAUCCUGGCUCAGGACGAACGCUGGCGGCACGCCUAACACAUGCAAGUCGAACGGUGAAGGGGGAGCUUGCUCCUCCGGAACAGUGGCGGACGGGUGAGUAACACGUGAGCAACCCGCCUUUCAGAGGGGGACAACAGUUGGAAACGACUGCUAACACCGCAUAACGUAUUUUGGCGGCAUCGCCGGAAUACCAAAGGAGCAAUCCGCUGAAAGAUGGGCUCGCGUCUGAUUAGAUAGUUGGUGAGGUAACGGCUCACCAAGUCGACGAUCAGUAGCCGGACUGAGAGGUUGAACGGCCACAUUGGGACUGAGACACGGCCCAGACUCCUACGGGAGGCAGCAGUGGGGGAUAUUGGACAAUGGGGGAAACCCUGAUCCAGCGAUGCCGCGUGAGGGAAGAAGGUUUUCGGAUUGUAAACCUCUGUGGAGGGGGACGAUAAUGACGGUACCCCUUUAGGAAGCCACGGCUAACUACGUGCCAGCAGCCGCGGUAGUACGUAGGUGGCGAGCGUUGUCCGGAAUUACUGGGUGUAAAGGGAGUGUAGGCGGGAAAGCAAGUCAGAAGUGAAAACUAUGGGCUUAACCCAUAGCCUGCUUUUGAAACUGUUUUUCUUGAGUGAAGUAGAGGCAAGCGGAAUUCCUAGUGUAGCGGUGAAAUGCGUAGAUAUUAGGAGGAACACCAGUGGCGAUGGCGGCUUGCUGGGCUUUUACUGACG
rnacentral:rRNA from 1 species